rnacentral:rRNA from 1 species
GACGAACGCUGGCGGCGUGCUUAACACAUGCAAGUCGAACGGAAAGGCCCUGCUUUUGUGGGGUGCUCGAGUGGCGAACGGGUGAGUAACACGUGAGUAACCUGCCCUUGACUUUGGGAUAACUUCAGGAAACUGGGGCUAAUACCGGAUAGGAGCUCCUGCUGCAUGUUGGGGGUUGGAAAGUUUCGGCGGUUGGGGAUGGACUCGCGGCUUAUCAGCUUGUUGGUGGGGUAGUGGCUUACUAAGGCUUUGACGGGUAGCCGGCCUGAGAGGGUGACCGGCCACAUUGGGACUGAGAUACGGCCCAGACUCCUACGGGAGGCAGCAGUGGGGAAUAUUGCACAAUGGGCGGAAGCCUGAUGCAGCAACGCCGCGUGCGGGAUGACGGCCUUCGGGUUGUAAACCGCUUUCGCCUGUGACGAAGCGUGAGUGACGGUAAUGGGUAAAGAAGCACCGGCUAACUACGUG